rnacentral:rRNA from 1 species
UACGGGGGGUGCGAGCGUUGAUCGGAAUAACUGGGCGUAAAGGGCACGCAGGCGGCCUUUUAAGUUAGGUGUGAAAUCCCCGGGCUUAACCUGGGAAUUGCAUUUGAUACUGGGAGUCUAGAGUACUUUAGGGAGGGGUAGAAUUCCACGUGUAGCGGUGAAAUGCGUAGAGAUGUGGAGGAAUACCGAAGGCGAAGGCAGCCCCUUGGGAAUGUACUGACACUCAUGUGCGAAAGCGUGGGGAGCAAACAGA